rnacentral:lncRNA from 1 species
AGGAUUUUGGAAAUACCGCAGGAGUAACAACGUCGCUUUUUACCAUUUGUAUUCAUGUUUGAGGUCAGGGCAAGACAUAGUCUAAGCAUUUCAGAAUAUUUAUGAAGUUGGUUUUUUUAUUUAUAUAUAAUGUUAGUUGAUUUAACCGCCAUUUAUUGUCUGUUGUCUUUUUUCGAUAUAAUAAAACACUUACUGACUGGGUAUGAGUAGAAUAGUAUGUUUAUUGUCCCCCGAGGUGCAACUAUUGUCCUGAGGCGUGUACCAAGUUUUGUGGAUUGAAGAAAAAUUACAGUUCAAUUAGUACUAGAUAUUGUGCCUUUGUCAAUGUUUGAAGUCAAAUCCUACCAGAAAUCCAUACUUCCUUCAAAAUUUAAAUUUGUUCAACCUUUAUGCCAAAUAAAUCCACAAAAACUGGUACCCAAAGAAUAGCAAUGAAUGCACAGUAGUACACUGUAGAUAGGUUGGUUGAAUUGAAGCUUGCUUAACAUCCAGUGGCAAAUAUGUCAUGCAUAUUCAGGACUAUAGGCUUUUCCUAUUGCAAAAAUAUGAGGAAACAUUCAAUUUUAUGUUGUUCCAAAAGUAACUUAUAAAAGGACAUAUCUAUGAUAUCUAAUGAUAUUUGUCUGCCAUAACUGGACAUCAAAGAUGUUCAUGUAAAUUUUUGAUGUCACAAAAGAAAAUGUCCGACACUAAAAGUGAAAGUGAUAGCUGGAUAAAGUCAAUAGUUCAAGUGUCACAAAUUUUCAAGUAAAGAUAUGGUAUAUGUCCCUAGUUUCUGUUUUAAAUUACAGUGAUAAAUAAGGGUCCUACAAAAAAAUACAACAGACAUCUAAUUAUUUCUCUUUUUUCUCAUUUUCUAUGAAUGAUUUCUUUUUUGGUUUUUUUUCUUCUUCUUCAACACCUCAAUUUUUUAAUAAUAGUUCAUUAGGUAUAUGAUCGUAGUUCCUGUAUUAAUCUUAGAGUGAUAAAUAAAGGUCCUACAUACAAUAGACUUCUAUUUAUUUCUCUUUUUUAUCUUUUUUCAUGAAUGAUUUCUACUUAGGUAUUUUUUUUAUUAUUUUC